UGUAUAUUAAAGUUGUUGCGUUUAAAACGCCCGUAGUUGAGCCUUUCCGCGCGGCUGGAUCAUGGUGUCGGAUGGAUGUUGAGCUGGCCAAGCCGGUUCAUGCUGUUUUGACACCGCGGUUCGACGCGCGGUGCGCCUGGUCGUGUAUGGGAUUGCAAACCCCAUGCAGGGCUUGGUGUCGUUACCAUAAAGAAAUUGGAGUGUUUCACGCAGGCCGUUGGCUCUUGCACAGUCCAGUAUGGAAUAACAGCGGAUGACUUGUGCCCGUCUGUUGGUUUUUCGGGUAUUUAGUAAUGGUCGAUAGGGGCGGUCGGGGGCAUUAGUACUGGGGCGGGAGAGGUUAAAUUUUAUGAUCGCCUCAAGACUAUCGAAGGCGAAAGCGCUUGCCAAGGACGCUUUCGUUGAUCAAGGACGAAAGCUGGGGGAGAGAAGGAGAUCAGACACCUCCGUAUUCCCAGCCAUAAACGAUGCCGACCAGGGCCCGGGAGCAAUUCUACCCGGAUCCCCCCGGGACCUCGCGAGAAAUCCGAGUAUCCAGGUUACGGGGGGAGUAUGGUUGCAAGGCAGAAACUUAAAGGAAUUGACGGAAGGGCACCACAAUUGGCGUGGAGCCUGCGGCUCAAUU
rnacentral:rRNA from 1 species